GACGAACGCUGGCGGCGUGCUUAACACAUGCAAGUCGAACGGAAAGGCCCUGCUUUUGUGGGGUGCUCGAGUGGCGAACGGGUGAGUAACACGUGAGUAACCUGCCCUUGACUUUGGGAUAACUUCAGGAAACUGGGGCUAAUACCGGAUAGGAGCUCCUGCUGCAUGGUGGGGGUUGGAAAGUUUCGGCGGUUGGGGAUGGACUCGCGGCUUAUCAGCUUGUUGGUGGGGUAAUGGCUUACCAAGGCUUUGACGGGUAGCCGGCCUGAGAGGGUGACCGGCCACAUUGGGACUGAGAUACGGCCCAGACUCCUACGGGAGGCAGCAGUGGGGAAUAUUGCACAAUGGGCGGAAGCCUGAUGCAGCAACGCCGCGUGCGGGAUGACGGCCUUCGGGUUGUAAACCGCUUUCGCCUGUGACGAAGCGUGAGUGACGGUAAUGGGUAAAGAAGCACCGGCUAACUACGUGC
rnacentral:rRNA from 1 species